rfam:Curtobacterium flaccumfaciens TCD-AKT genomic scaffold scaffold1.10, whole genome shotgun sequence.
UGGCACACACACGGGAGUCCGGGACCGCCGGGCUGAGAGGGAGCGAUCGGCGCUCCGACCGUCGAACCUGAUCCGGAUCAUGCCGGCGCAGGGAGGAGUCAGCAGCAUGCCU